UACAGAGGUCCCAAGCGUUGUUCGGAUUCACUGGGCGUAAAGGGUGCGUAGGUGGCCAGGUAAGUUCGGUGUGAAAGCUCGGAGCUUAACUCCGAAAUGUCAUUGAAUACUAUCUGGCUAGAGGGUCGGAGGGGAGACUGGAAUUCUCGGUGUAGCAGUGAAAUGCGUAGAUAUCGAGAGGAACACCAGUGGCGAAGGCGAGCCUCUGGACGACACCUGACACUGAGGCACGAAAGCUAGGGGAGCAAACAGG
rnacentral:rRNA from 1 species